rnacentral:lncRNA from 1 species
AAAACAUCACUGUUUUCGUGCCAAAAUGUGCCCCUGAAAGGGUGAUGUUUUGAAGAGGAUUAUUUAAAUGGGAUGGAUGCCUUGGGUUUGAUCUAUUCAAACUUCUGUGUUUGCAAGCCUGGUUGAGUUGGGGUUACUUUUGGAUUGAAGUGGACUUAUAUUUGGGUUUGGGGUUUUAACUUGGGUUUGACUAGAAAGUUUUUCUUUU